AUGACCGGCGUAGGGAUUACUAAGGAGACUAAAGAAACUAGAACAACAACGACUAAUUCAUUCGCCAAUAUAUUCCCGUAAACUCGAAAACUAAGCGAUAAUGGAUUUCUGAAAUCUUCUAGUAUGUUAAUUGGUAAAAGGAUUGGAGUUUAUUUAAUAUAUUUCUUGAAAUAG
rnacentral:rRNA from 1 species